GUGAUCGAUAACUGCGGCAAAUGCUGCCUGCCUGCUUGUAACCCCAAAGCUGGGCAGGGUGAGAGCGGCACGGAUACCUAAUGAGAGACACAUGGGCACCCAGUGAGAGCCACACAGGCACCCAGAGAGGCACUGGGUGAGAGCUACAUGGGCACCCAGUGAGAGCCACAAUGGCAACUGGACCAGCGGCACACAGGCACCCAGUGAAAGCCACAGGGGCAACUGGGUGAGAGCCAUAUGGGCACCCAGAGAGCCAUAGGGGCAACUGGGUGAGAGCCACAUGGGCAACCGGGUAAGAGCCACAUGGGCACUCAGAGAGCCACAGGUAGAACGGGGUGAGAGCUACAUGGGCACCCAGUGAGAGCCACAUCCAGAAAGAGCCACUUGGGCACCCAAUGGGAGCCACAUGGGAACCCAGUGAGAGCCACAUGGACACCAGGAGAGCCAUCAGCGGAACAGGGUGAGAGCUACAUGGGCACCCAGUGAGGGGCACA